UUAAAUUCUGUUGUGCUUCCUCACACAACAACAAUAAAGGAAUUCUGAUUCUGUUUUUACAUGUCUGAUCAGUUGAUCAGAUAAUUUAUCAGUUAUCUGAUCAAAUUUGUAAUUCAGUAUAUUUAUGUCUUUGUUUUUUAAAAAAAUAAACAUUUUAAGUCAAGUCAUGGCUGUUUUUCUGUGUCAGAUCAGUAUCGGUUGGUACUAAACCUCAGUGGAUCAGUGCAUUCCUAAUAUCAAGGGCUGAAGCAACUUCGACGAUGUCUCCAGGAACGAUGUCUCUGGCUCGGACUCUCUGGACGCUUUUCUUGUCCUGCCUGUAAACUUUUCCCAUUUCAGGCUCAUACUCCUUUAAAGCUUCAAUGGCGUUCUCUGCAUUUCUUUCCUGAUGGACACAACAAAUGUCUUAGUUUUCUA